rnacentral:rRNA from 1 species
CUGAACCAGCCAAGUAGCGUGAAGGAUGACUGCCCUAUGGGUUGUAAACUUCUUUUAUAAAGGAAUAAAGUCGGGUAUGCAUACCCGUUUGCAUGUACUUUAUGAAUAAGGAUCGGCUAACUCCGUGCCAGCAGCCGCGGUAAUACGGAGGAACCGAGCGUUAUCCGGAUUUAUUGGGUUUAAAGGGAGCGUAGAUGGAUGUUUAAGUCAGUUGUGAAAGUUUGCGG